rnacentral:rRNA from 3 species
UUUGACCUCAAAUCAGGUAGGACUACCCGCUGAACUUAAGCAUAUCAU